AGUUUUGCCCAAAAUACAUCAUUUGUUGUGUGUUUGUCCGUUAUCACCUUAACCCUUGUCAUCACUCGAUCUUUACCUUGAUGCUUAUCCUGUACCUACAAUUUUAAUGCCUCCCCUCCAAUUUCAGUUCAAGAGUGUUGUCUUACCCCUCCCCGCUCUUGUUCGUCCCCUUUUUCCUCUGUCGCGUGGCAAGUCUUGUCUUAACUCAAUCUUUGGAUGUGCUUUCGCCUAUUACCUCAUGUACCUUUGUGAUAUCUAGAUCUUUCCAUGAUGCUUAUCCUAUGCCUACCUUUUGAAAUAUCAUCCUUUCCAUCUCGAUUUGAGAAUGUUGUUUUACCUAUCCUGACCUUGGUUGCAUUCUCUCCCUGUCAAUUUCAAUCCUUGCUUUAGCUCCAUCCUUUAUUAAGCUCAUGCCCCUACCCUCCAUGUCUUAUUAUUCCCCUUACCUUUUGAUGGCCUUAGAGUAGUUUCCCUUUUUAAGGAAAGACCACCAAUUAAUUAAAAGGAACGUAUAGCAACGAAAUGUUUGUUGUUGUAUGCUUGUGCUGCUUGUCUUUGUGUGAUGACUGAUUUGCUUCUUUGUGAUGAGUGUUGGUGUGUUGUGGCCCUUGGUCCGCAAUGACAUCAGUUUACUAGCUGAGUGCCAUAGAGUUAGGUAGCUGGGUGCUCUCCCUUUUCUCUCUUUAAUUCAUCUAUGCUUACCUUUUCUAUCUAUACCCUUCCCUCUUGCACCUGUCCGGCUGGCAACCUCCAACAUCUCAUAAUCAGUCAAGAUCAGAGUCGACAGCAUCUUCACCAAGUGCAUAUCAACGCUUCUGUUAAGGGUGUUAGCUGCUAACCCCAAUGAAGACAAUGCGAUCAACAUCAACCAACAAGAUCGGAGUGGUCCAACGGAAGCGUGUGUGGGUCCUAACCCACAGGUCCAAGAGAUCCUCAACAAUUGCAUCAAUCGGUCUCAAGCGUCUAAUGGUCAAAGCAACCAGUACGCAAGUUAAAGUUAUCGAAGUCAAAGUUGAGUCAGGAGAAGCUAUGAAAGACCAAUGAACCAAUCUCAUUUUCUUGCUAGCAUCUUCUUGAAUCUCGAGGGCGAGAUUCUGUUAAGUGGGUUAGAUUUGUAACACCCUGAAUUUUGGGGUAUAAAUUUUCUUUUCUAAUAUCCACCAAAUUCAGGUGUUACUCUCUCGUUUCCAUGCUUUUCUUUUCUUUUGCCUAAAGAGUGAGGAAUUAUUUUGUUAUAUAUUAGCAUAAGUCUACUGAAUUGAACCCUAGGGAAGCUUUGCGUGCUGCAUUUCAUGCUGAAGCAUAAUUUUGCUUGCUAUCGCAUUUAAUUUCACUUAAAUUAUUUGGCAUGAUAUAAAAUGAAAAAAAACAUAUAUAUAUUUAUAUAAAUAAGUGUAUAUCUAUGUCUAU
rnacentral:lncRNA from 7 species